UGGCAUCUAUAUGUAUUUAAAAUGCGCGUGUGAUAUAUAUAGUAUUCGAAACAUUUUGCAGCUCAGCUUAUUUUUCAUUUUAUUCGAUUAAUUUUGAAUGAUUAUUCGACAAUAUCGUAAAUUAUAUAGUUUACAAUAAUCACAUCACAUAUUCAAAAGUUCAAGAAAUUAUGAUCAUCGAUUCUUCGAAUCAUCAUUAACGAAUACGAGGUAUACAUAUGUGUCAAAAGCUUUAACGAACUUUGAUAAACAAUUAUAACAGUUUUACAAACAUGUUUGGAAAAGAAGCUAUCAAACUCGUAACAGAGCUCGAUAUGUAUGAGGAUAUCCGACCGUUUAAUGAGCAAGUAAUGCGACAAGUUUUUGAAGAGAUGCAGACUCUUUACGAGGCCAAUCUGGUGGACAGUAACACUAUACAGAAUGAAGGAAACAAUGAGUUGUUACCAUCAGUGCACUUCCGCCAUACAGCCCUGCUCAGAAAUAAAAGAUGCGUUCUGGCAUAUCUGUAUCAUCGGAUUAGGCGUUUACGGCAAAUGCGUUGGGAAUUGGGCAGCAUUUUGCCAACUGAGAUAACAGCCAACUUGUUGAAUGCAGAAAUGCAAUGGUUUCAAAAUUACAACAAGUCUCUGGCCACUUAUAUGAGAUCGAUUGGAGAUGAUUACGGAUUGAAUCUGACUGUGAACAUGAGUCCUCCAAAGAUGCUCUAUGUCGAAGUGAAAUGCUUAACCGAUUUUGGUAAGCUGGAACUCGAAGACGGCGAGAUUAUUACGCUCAAAAAGAACACAUACCAUCUGCUUCCGAGAGCUACAUGCGAGCCACUUAUCAGACAAGUUAUGAAAUACAGACAAGGCAGUGUGAAUUUCCUGCAGUGAACGAAAGAAAACACAUCGACCGAGGGCAGCAUAAAAAAUUCGGGUUUCUGCAAGCUUGACUUGGAACGCCGUUCGUCAAUAUUUGGCAACGAUAGAUGGCCAAUCAAGCAUUUGAGAUCCGUUGUUUGGAAAAUUGACAUAGAGGAAGCUGUUUUCCCCCAGAUAAUCCGGGCAUUGACGUCGGCGAUAUCCACCUGUGUCUACAAGCACGUACACCAAAAAAUCUUCAUCUUUAUUCGUAAUCGAUUGACCAACUUUUAAUGUAUAGUGGUAUCAAACGAUACAAUCAUACAACACGCUUGUAACAGAAAAAUUUUAAGAAUCUCAACAGUUUUGUCUUUCAAGGAAAGAAGAUCGCGUAUACAUAUUUGGAUUGUGCUGACUAAAAAGUAAUAGGUAACAAAUGAUUUAUUGUCUUAACGGUUUAUUGUGCGGCCUUAAUAAUAAUGGGAAAACCCAUGCGGAAUUUUUGCGGUGGUGAACUCCUUUGUACGCAUCGAGGUCGUAUAUUCGGCGGCGACGAAUCGAUUUCCCGGUAUACGAACAGUAACGACCAUGGAACGUUUACAGCCGUGCAUCGUCGCGGGGCCGUUUCAGAUAGGAAAUGCCGGUGGAAUUUCCGGUGAGUUCGUCGCGUCGAGCCACUUUUACCAAGAGGUGCUACGAAGAAAGUAGCCCGACUGUCACAUGCGGCGAGAAAUGCGAAAGUUACAUCGAUCAACGUGUAAAUCCCGCUUAGCGUCGGUCUGUCGAUCCGUAAGAGAGAGAUGGAAAUCUGCUAAAUAUAAAGAUAUGCGUGCGCACAAGAUCGUAGAAAGUUGAUUUAAUGUUUCUAAUUAACCGAGUUCUGAUUAUAAUUAUAAAAUUCAAUUAUUACGCUUGUAUACUUAACGAUAAUGAUUUCUUAAUUUACGACUAUAAUGAUAAAAUUUACUAUCACAUUUUCAUGUAGUUUCUCCAAUUAAUGUUUAUAAUUGCCAGUUUUGUUUAUUCCAAGCGCAUCAUACAUCAAACAGCAUAAGAGAAUUAGCUUUUUAAAAUUCCGCCUAGCUUUUACGUUAUAUAUUUUUUUCUUUUUCUAAGAAAUAGAUUAAAGUCUAAGUCUUUCCGGACUUUACAAAGGUCGAAAAAUCCGAUGAUUCAUUUAUCGCGAAAGGAUUAUAGAAUGAAUGAGAGAUAAUCUGGUUCAAAAAUCCGUGCACGUCAGUUCCGCAAAACUUUAUCGACAAGAAAUUGCGAAAUUUUACAUCUGAUAAUUUAUAAUCUACCUUGUAAGAUAAAAGACGCGCGUCUUAUUUCGCAAUAUUACUCGAUUUCAAUACAAACAAGUCACAUCGAUUAAAACAGACUUGGAACUAUUUGAGAAAAGCACUCUAUUUUUGAGGUUUCUAAAAGAGUUACCAUGACACUUGACACAGAUGUUACAUAUGUAUCGAUAAGAAUCCACAAUCACGCUCGUGCGCAUCUGCCGUCAUCGCGAGAGAUGCGAUAACGCGCCGGAAUUACUA